GGGAGGCCCCUAACUAAGGGAGAGGUGCUUUGUCCAUAGCUUCCUGAGGCCCCUGACUGCCAAUCAUGAGGCAGCAUCUUGGGCUUAACGCCUUAAUUUCCGGAGGAAAGUGCUGUAUCUCAUCGACCUGCCAUCCAUGCUUGGGGAGGCACUUUCAAGGGACUCCCCUGGGCCAAAAAAUUCCUUCACCAACCCUGUGAUUUAAGAUACGCCCGCUCCUCCCCAGGGUGUUUCUCUGACACUGAGAACAGCAUUUAUUCUGUUCUCAGGGUUGUCUGUCCCUGAGAAGGCCCACCUUGCCCUGUUUGUGUGUGUUUGCGGGGAUGGGGAAGAAGGGCAAUGAGAAUGGGUAGGGUGGGGUGGGGUGGGGGUUGAAGGCCACUCAUCCUGUGACUGUGCUCAGAGCCCUUCCUGGCUUUCAUUUUCGUCUCCUGGUGAUGCGUUUGUAACCUGUGCUGCCACAGAACAGAUGGAAGAGGGACUUAUUUUGAAAUAAUCAUAGAUUCAUAGGGAAUAUAGUGCUGAGAGAUUCCGUGUACCCUUUGCCCAGUUCCUCCCACAGGUUUCUUCUUACAGAGCUACAGUGUAGUACCAAAAGCAGGACGCUGACUUGAUGAUGGUGUGUGAGUAGAGGUCCAGGCCAUUGGAUCAUCCCACCACUUCAAGACAGAACUAUCCCAUGGCACAGAGAUUUUGCUGCUCUCCCUAAGUCUUUCUUUAGUGCUGCAAUUUUGUCAUUUUGAGAACAUUGUAUGAAUGGAGUCAUGCAAUAUGUGACCUAUUACGACUGACUUUUUCAUUCAGCCUAAUGUCCUUGAGAUCUAUCCAAGCUGUUCCAUGAAUCAAUAGUUUGUUCCUGGAGUUCCCGUCGUGGCGCAGUGGUUAACGAAUCCGACUAGGAACCAUGAGGUUGCGGGUUCGGUCCCUGCCCUUGCUCAGUGGGUUAACGAUCCAGCGUUGCCGUGAGCUGUGCCGCUCGCCUAAGCCACAGCCACAGCAACUUGGGAUCCAAGCCUUGUCUGUGACCUACAUCACAGCUCACAGCAACACCGGAUCCUUAACCCACUGAACAAGGCCAGGGAUCAAACCUGCGUCCUCAUGGAUGCUAGUCAGAUUCAUUUCUGCUGAGCCAUGACGGGAGCUCCAGGAUCUGGGGUCUUUUUUUGCUCUAGCUUUCCUUCUGGCCAUAGCUGAAUGGUUGUCUUUUCCCUUGAAUUUGAUUUUUCAGUCUCUGUUCCUAAGCUGUUUUCUGUUCUCAGUGACAGCCCUGCAAGAGAGGCAUCAACAUCUCCAUUUCGUCCUUGAAAUCGAGGCACAUCCAAGACCAUGUAUCCAGUAAAUCCCAAAGCAGAAAUUCCCACCAGGGUCAUCGCACUCCUAGCCCCUACUCACCCUAGCCACAGAAUGCCUCUCAGUUAUGGAUUCUCCCAUCUAUGGACAUUUGGGCCUGAGCUCAGUGAUCUCUGAGGUCCUUUCAGUUUCUCAGAUUCCUAUCUCAUGCUGUCAAGUUGUAGAUUGACAUGAGACCAGGAACAAGGCCAGUUGAGUCUGAGCUUUGCCUGGAGACCGGCCCUGAAACCUGGCGAGAGUAGAGGGGACGGGCCAGCCAGCUUGUCGUCAAUCAAUUCCAGCUCUCUUGGUUUAAAGGAUCUUGAUUCCCUGGAACAGAACAGAUUAAAUUUGAUCAGGGUGGGAAUGAAACCAAGGCUGGGAGUCUCAAGCCUCACUGUGGGGUGGGUGGGAUGGCCCACUCCAGUGAGCAGCCUGCUUCCAGAGCCACCUUCCCAGCCUCGUCAUGGCCUUGUUGGGUGGAGAUGCUGUGGAGACGCUAGCUUGCGGGGGCGGGGGAGGCGCCAGCCCUGGGCAGUAACUUCAAGAUUUGCAACCUUUGGGACACUCAGUCUGGUCAGUACUGGCACUGACCCCCUCAGGGUUGCCCCCUGCCUCUAGAAAUGUGGGCAGACUCACUCUUUCUGUAAGUUCAGUGUACACCCAAAUUCUAAAGGAACCUGGGCAUUUCACCUUGUCCACCCAAACAUCAGCCGUACCUAUUUCUGUUCUGAAGGAUGCUCUGUCCAUCACCUCUGGGAGAUGCUGGCCUGAAGAGACGGCUUCAGUUAGAAUGCAGAUGGCAUCAGGGAGGGCUACCAUAAGCUGGUAUUUGCCAAUCCGCCCCACCAAGAUGCCCUGGAUUCUAGAAGCGGGUGAUUGGGUCUCCACGUCGAGGCAGGACAAGGAAAUGAAGGGAGGUGUCUCGAGAUUUGGCUUGACUUCCCGUGAAUGCUACAGUUCUGUGGCAUUUUAUGUUUACCCGAGAAUCAGGCGAAGUUUCUAUUUUCCUCAACAAUAGAUCUUUGUGUCUUCAAAUCACAAAGUGUAUGUUCCUCCAAAUCUUGGAGGGACAGUGAUGCUCCAGGAAGCUAUGUUGUGUCUAGCCCUCAUCUCCCGGAUGUGACUCCCAGGUGAAACUUAAGUGAGUUUAGAAAACGAUGCAACUCACCUCAAGUCAGAACGCGUUCAUCUGGUUAAUUCACCCAGUCAGCUUGUUGGGCGUAGAGGGCAUGGUACUGAGACAACCGAAGCGGAACAGGGGCAGGGUGUGGAUGACAGACAAUUCCUGGGCUGCACCUGGGGGCACCCCAGGAGAGAAGCUGGCUAGAGAAGGCGGUAUGGCCCCUGUGAGUCCAGGGUAAGGGAGUAAUGGGGGGAGGUUGGGGAUGCAGGGCAGCAGGCUUCCAGAGUCACGCUGAUCCUGCCCAACUGGCUGCCACAGAUUGCAGGAUGGGAUUGAACGGACCACAUUCCCAGUCUGUUUUACAAGUCAUUCCUGCCUGUGCUUCAGGCCCUUUUGUAAUUGUUUGGCUAUGCCUUUGAGUCACGGUGCAUUUGAGGGAAGUGGCAGGAGCAGAGUGCUGGCGCAGGAGCUGUUCCUCAGCCUUCGCUGCGUGUCUGUGUCUGCCGUGGGAGGCUCUUCCCCAGGCUUCACUGUGCACACUCGGCGCCCUAAGAGGAAAUGACUCCUAAGAGUGGAAUCAUUCAUGUUGAUUCCAAGAAACAAUGCACUGUAGGGCCCUGCUUCCCAGAGGGACCCCCUGCUUCCAUUUGCCCAGGACGGAGAUUAGUCCUGGGACCGAGGACUUUCAGUUUUAAAACUGGAAGAGUUCUGGGUGGAUUGGGAUGGAUUGGUCACCCUACUGCCUCCCUUGCUGUGACAUUUACAAGAAUGAACUGCCAUCCAUGGACUAUGGAAGGUAAGGGAUGGUGCCCAGGAGUGGAAAUGAGCCCCAAGGACCCUUGAUAAGAAGGAACAGGAAGCUUCAGGGAGAACACGAGUGACAGGGGCCAUUUCUCCCUCUUGACCUCCUCCUGCCCAGACUGUCUUCAUUGCCAUCAUGAUCUGUGUGGUGUUUUUAACUCCUCAUUGUGUAUAAUCCACACUAAUAAUGAUAAAACUGAGCCAUGGUGCCCCUGGCUUAUAGAACUACUGAAUUUCAGAAAUGAGAGUGACGGGGAAGCUCAUGUGCUCAAAGAGGCAGGAAUCCUCUUGCCAGUCUUGCAUAGCCCCAGUGAUGGGGAACUCACCACAUCACAAGACAGGUUCAGCACCCUAGGCUUUUGACCGGUCUCCCCUGUGUUGAGCUGAGGCUGCCCCACCCUUCUGCGGACGGCCCCCAAAGGGAAGCUAGCAGACCCCCCUCUUCCUGGUUCCUCUCCUCACUCUUUCUGCUAGAAAGUGGUCUCCCCUCUCUCACUAGUCCCUCUGGCUGGGUUGAAACAGAAAGCCAGGCUACCUCCCUCUAAAAGCUGGGCUGGGAUCUGAAGGCAGGCAGUGCUGAGGGCCAGGUGUGGCCCCUGACGCUUGUUGUCCCAGUUCACACGGGUUUCCUCAUGGGUUCUGGUUGUCACUCAUGAAGGGGAGGCUGGUGGGUUUCCUGGGACCAGAGGAGACCUUCCCUUGACAGAGCCCCCACCCCAUCAGGCCCUGCAAGCUUCUUAUGCCCUCAGGAGCUCCAGGCCUGCCCCCUCCCACCCCUACCCUCACAGUCUUCCUUCUCACCCCCAUCCUGCUGUCUUCUCAACUCAACCCUCACUGCCCCCUGACUUCGGGAGCAUCCAUGGAGUGUCUGUGCCCAGCCUUGAAGAGCCCUGGACAGGUCGUUAGGUCCAUCCUCCAGCCUCGCUGGACAACAUCUCUCUGGAGCAAGUAGUCAAGGGGCUCACUGGGGACCAGUUCCCCGACUUUAUCACCAGAGGGCCCAGCAGAGACCCUUACAGAGGGCUCCUGACCCCCUGUACCCCAGGCUGCACCCCCACAUCCCACACACCCAGACUGGUGGAGCCAAAUUAGUGGAGAGGGAGCCUUGUCUAGCGGGCCGUCUCUAGCCCUGGACCUUGUCACUGACUUGGAUAGUGAACUUCAGGACUUUCUAGCUGCCACUUCAUUUUCAACCGGCUCUUGCGGUCAGGAAGCUGCCCUCCAGGUUUCUCCUGCAGUGUCCCAGCAAGGCGCAGGCCCACUGGCUCAGCGGGUAAAUGUUAUACCUAAACAUGUACGGUUAACAAGAAGUAGGGACAAGUGCUAAUCAAGCCUGUUUUGGUUUAUCUUAAAGUCACAAAUAUUUAGAGUUCCCACCCUCAGCACCAACACAUUUUUUUUCUGUACUAUCUUUACAAAGACGAAUCUGUUUUAUUAGGACACGUGUGUGGUAAAAUAUAUGAAGCAUGUGGGCAUUUAAUUGUGCAUUGGGUUGUGGGAGGGACCCAUAUGUGCCAAAUUUAGUGAAAUAACAAGGUCAGGUGCUUUAGAAACUCUCUCUAUGCUGCAGGGUGCCUGUUGUCUGUGUUGUGUAGGGGAGGAAACUGACAGGAAGAUGGUGGGUAUUGCCACAUCAGGGAAUGAAAGAGCUGGGAUUCAGGGAUGCUCUCAUAAGACCCCAUCCUCUGCGGCUGCUCCCCGGGUCCCACUGCACACCACAGCCAGCCAAACCCAGGGCUCUGCUACUUUGGAUGCCAUACCGACAGACAGCAGGGCUGCUUGUUUAUAUUGUUUUAUUUCCCCAAGUUCAGUUUGACACUGGUGGCUUUGAAAGCCCUUCUAAGUUUUCCUCUCUUGCUGCACAUUCAUAAGGCAUGACCCACGGUCAUGAGGCAAAGCCGAUGCUCCAGCUGGACAGUGCGCCGACGUUUGGACCAGGGACCCGGUGUGGAGUGGGUGCGGCCAACUAAAUGGCUUAGAAACACUUCCUGAACAAGUAAAUGAAAACCCAGUCUGCUGAGAAAUGUUUUAUCAUGUAAGUCAUCUGCUCAGAAACUUUUCAUGAGGAAACAACUUGUAUAUCUAGCUACUGGAGAGGCAGUAAAU
rnacentral:lncRNA from 1 species